CCCAAUGUGGCAGAAUAGUGCAAUGGAUUUAAGCUCCAAAUAUGGGAGAGCCUCUCCUCAUAGGGA
rnacentral:tRNA from 1 species